rnacentral:rRNA from 1 species
AGUCGAGCGAAGCACUUAAGUUUGAUUCUUCGGAUGAAGACUUUUGUGACUGAGCGGCGGACGGGUGAGUAACGCGUGGGUAACCUGCCUCAUACAGGGGGAUAACAGUUAGAAAUGACUGCUAAUACCGCAUAAGACCACGGUACCGCAUGGUACAGUGGUAAAAACUCCGGUGGUAUGAGAUGGACCCGCGUCUGAUUAGGUAGUUGGUGGGGUAACGGCCUACCAAGCCGACGAUCAGUAGCCGACCUGAGAGGGUGACCGGCCACAUUGGGACUGAGACACGGCCCAGACUCCUACGGGAGGCAGCAGUGGGGAAUAUUGCACAAUGGAGGAAACUCUGAUGCAGCGACGCCGCGUGAAGGAUGAAGUAUUUCGGUACGUAAACUUCUAUCAGCAGGGAAGAAAAUGACGGUACCUGACUAAGAAGCCCCGGCUAACUACGUGCCAGCAGCCGCGGUAAUACGUAGGGGGCAAGCGUUAUCCGGAUUUACUGGGUGUAAAGGGAGCGUAGACGGCACGGCAAGCCAGAUGUGAAAGCCCGGGGCUCAACCCCGGGACUGCAUUUGGAACUGCUGAGCUAGAGUGUCGG